AGCCUGGUGCUCUGAGAAAGUUGAUGAGGUCCAUCUAGGUGAACAGCCAGAGCUAUUGAUUUUCUCCCUCGCAGAUGGGAUAUGCCACCUAUAACUUGCCACUGAUUGAAGUGAUUCACCCUGUAAGACACUCAGAUUCCACCCACCCUGCACCUGUCACAAUCCCUGAAGCAUAAGCAUCUCCUGCAGCAGGUGAAGGAAAAGAAACGGGGCUUCUCAUCUGAGAGUAGCAGCAGUUACGCUUUCUGAGCACUUUAGAAAGUAAAUCUCUAUUGUAGAUAGCCCUGCAAGUCCAAAACUGUAGGAGGUUUGAAAAACAGGAGUUUUAGCAGCAGGCAGAAGAGUGAUGGCACCACUAUGAUUCAUCCUUAAGUCUCAUAUCACUCAACACACUAGGCUCCACUGGCCCGAAUCCUCAUUGCAUUUGAGACCUGAUUUGAAAACUACUGUCAAAUACUUCAAGAAGGAGGAAGAAACCCCAGGAGAAUUAGCUGGUGCAGACCAAGGCCGCCAGCUUGAGCUACAAAUGUAUCCCAACGCUGAGUGGUCGCGGAAUGGUGGUGUGAGCCAGGAGGUGAGAGGAGAAGGGGGCCAGCCCAGUGAGAUCCUACAGCUGCCUGGCAAGUCACUCUGGUGUACUGUAUCUCUGAAAAAGUAACUGAAGAGAAGAUAGCUGAGAUUAGCAUUGAGCUACCCAUGGCAGAGGGGAAAAUGUGAGUGAGAACUCAACCUUGGUGGCACUGCUCCUGUCCUGGUUCCAGAGUAAUGCCUUCCCUCCCCACUUACUGGUUGCAGACAAUGCAGGAUUAUAGGAAGAAGAAUUGUUAGAGCUGAAAUAGAAACACCUCUCUUUUUUUGUAUUCCUGGCUUGGACUCUAUUUAAUUCACCCAAAAGAGAAAAAUAAAAACUGAAAAUUUAAACUCCAUUAUUGACAAAACUAGAAGGCCUUUCUAACUGUAAACUAUCAUCAUUGAGAGAGAUUGAACAAGAAUAUCGGAAGACACCAACAAAGAAUCCUCUUGACUGCUGAAUAUUUCAGGCACCAGAGUAGAGUACUGCCAAGUAAGUGGGACAUAGAGGGAAAACUAACAAUCUCAUGCUUGGAACAGUGCAUAUGAAAUUUGCUAGAAGGAACAUUUUUGGUCCCAGUUUGGCCUGAAUGAGAAAUCAUACAAACAAGCAAUAUUUGCAAGAAACAUUCUGACAGUGAGGUUAGAUGAAGGAGAAAGAUUCAACAAUCCCUAUGAGUUUGAUCCUGAUUUGCUGCAGAGAACCAGUCCAAACCAACUCUACAUCAUAAUGAGAAUUCUCACUAGCUGGCCAUAAGGCCUUGGUCUCCUUAACCCUAACAAACACAUGUACAAACUGCUGACGGAUAACUGGUCAGGAAAAAUAUCACCUUAGUCAAAGAUGAGUGAUAAUCAAAAAGAACCAAUAUACAAUCUACAAAGGGAGAAGUAAAAAGAAGAAAGAUAGAAGAAAAAGGGUAGAUGGAGGAUGCUCAUUGGAAAAAUGAUGACACAGAGUAGAUUAAAAUAGCGGCAAGAUAAUACCAUGGACUGAAAAAACAUUAU